AGUGAACGCUGGCGGUAGGCCUAACACAUGCAAGUCGAACGGCAGCACAGUAAGAGCUUGCUCUUACGGGUGGCGAGUGGCGGACGGGUGAGGAAUACAUCGGAAUCUACUUUUUCGUUGGGGAUAACGUAGGGAAACUUACGCUAAUACCGCAUACGACCUACGGGUGAAAGCAGGGGAUCUUCGGACCUUGCGCGAUUGAAUGAGCCGAUGUCGGAUUAGCUAGUUGGCGGGGUAAAGGCCCACCAAGGCGACGAUCCGUAGCUGGUCUGAGAGGAUGAUCAGCCACACUGGAACUGAGACACGGUCCAGACUCCUACGGGAGGCAGCAGUGGGGAAUAUUGGACAAUGGGCGCAAGCCUGAUCCAGCAAUACCGCGUGGGUGAAGAAGGCCUUCGGGUUGUAAAGCCCUUUUGUUGGGAAAGAAAAGCAGCAGGUUAAUACCCCGCUGUUCUGACGGUACCCAAAGAAUAAGCACCGGCUAACUUCGUG
rnacentral:rRNA from 1 species